rnacentral:rRNA from 1 species
CCCUUAGAUGUUCUGGGCUGCACGCGCGCUACACUGAAGCUAUCAACACGUUUUCCCUCCCUGAGAAGGGCGGGUAACCUUUUGAAUCAGCUUCGUGGUAGGGAUCGGGGCUUGCAAUUGUUCCCCGUGAACCAGGAAUUCCUAGUAGACGCGAGUCAUAAGCUCGCAUCGAUUAAGUCCCUGCCCUUUGUACACACUGCCCGUCGCUACUACCGAUUGAACGUUCUAGUGAGGCAUUUGGACCGACGCAUCUCAGUUUAACCGCUGGUUUGUGUUGGAAAGACUUCCAAACUUGAGCGUUUAGGGGAAGUAAAAGUCGUAACA